rnacentral:ncRNA from 25 species
AUAGUAAUUGAGAGCUAUGAAGAAUUCUUUUUAUGUGGAUAUUUUAAGAAUUUCGAGCUAUCUGUGCAGUCGACCAAUUUAAAC